AAAGAAGAAUUGCUGCUCAGUCCCUAAGUCCGGCUUAGUCUUGUAGGAAAGAAAGUUGUACAGCUAACUGAGGCUUAGUUUGAGCUACCUAUCUUCCAUUUCUUCCACAUCUAGUGUUUUAGCUCCAUACAUGUCUUCAAAGGUAUGGAGUAAAUUGCAAAUAAAUAGUUUGAGCUACCUAUCUUCCUUUUCUUCCACAUCUAGUGUUUUAGCUCCAUACAUGUCUUCAAAGGUAUGGAGCAAAUUGCAAAUAAAGUUGUUACAUGUACUAGAGAACUGUAAAUGUGUAGUUAAAACAUAAAAUCAGGUAUGCUGAAGCUCAGAUGUCAAAUAUUCAAGAUGGCUGUGCAGAGGAAGUCAAGUCUCCGGAGGGUGUAAAAAAUAUAAGACCGGCGAGGUAGUUUAUAUCAACGCGAUUGUACAAAUGUUGCCAUGUGGAGAGUUGAUGUUAGGUGAACAGAAAUUUCAUGUAUGGUAUUGACAAUUUUCUUUUAUGGCUUUGUGUAUUUUCCUUCAUCUAUGUUGCUAUCAUUUUGUGAUAAUUCAAUGCUCCUGUAUCCACUAUUGCUUUCGGUAUUGUGUUUGUCAUCAAGUGAUGUAGGAUUAGUAAGAUUUGGUUGCAGUAGAUACAUACAGCUAUAGCUAUGACAACAAUUAUCUUAAAUUCCAAAGAAAUUAGGGUCCGCUAUGGCUUCUUACGGA
rnacentral:lncRNA from 1 species